rnacentral:rRNA from 1 species
AGAGUUUGAUCCUGGCUCACGAUGAACGCUGGCGGCGUGCCUAAUGCGUGCAAGUCGAGCGAACGGACGAGAAGCUUGCUUCUCUGAUGUUAGCGGCGGACGGGUGAGUAACACGUGGAUAACCUACCUAUAAGACUGGGAUAACUUCGGGAAACCGGAGCUAAUACCGGAUAAUAUUUUGAACCGCAUGGUUCAAAAGUGAAAGACGGUCUUGCUGUCUCUUAUAGAUGGAUCCGCGCUGCAUUAGCUAGUUGGUAAGGUAACGGCUUACCAAGGCAACGAUGCAUAGCCGACCUGAGAGGGUGGUCGGCCACACUGGAACUGAGACACGGUCCAGACUCCUACGGGAGGCAGCAGUAGGGAAUCUUCCGCAAUGGGCGAAAGCCUGACGGAGCAACGCCGCGUGAGUGAUGAAGGUCUUCGGAUCGCAAAACUCUGUUAUUAGGGAAGAACAUAUGUGUAAGUAACUGUGCACAUCUUGACGGUACCUAAUCAGAAAGCCACGGCUAACUACGUGCCAGCAGCCGCGGUAAUACGUAGGUGGCAAGCGUUAUCCGGAAUUAUUGGGCGUAAAGCGCGCGUAGGCGGUUUUUUAAGUCUGAUGUGAAAGCCCACGGUUCAACCCGUGGAGGGUCUGUGGAAACUGGAAAACUUGAGUGCUGAAGGGGAAAAGGGGAUUUCCAUGUGUAGCGGUGAAAUGGCGCAUAGAUAUGGAGGAACACCCCGUGGCGAAAGGCGACUUUCUUGGUCUUGUAACUUGACGCCUGAUGUGCGAAAAGCGUGGGGGAUUCAAACAGGGUUUAGAUACCCUGGUAGUCCACGCCGUAAACGAUGAGUGCUAAGUGUUAGGGGGUUUCCGCCCCUUAGUGCUGCAGCUAACGCAUUAAGCACUCCGCCUGGGGAGUACGACCGCAAGGUUGAAACUCAAAGGAAUUGACGGGGACCCGCACAAGCGGUGGAGCAUGUGGUUUAAUUCGAAGCAACGCGAAGAACCUUACCAAAUCUUGACAUCCUUUGACAACUCUAGAGAUAGAGCUUUCCCCUUCGGGGGACAAAGUGACAGGUGGUGCAUGGUUGUCGUCAGCUCGUGUCGUGAGAUGUUGGGUUAAGUCCCGCAACGAGCGCAACCCUUAAGCUUAGUUGCCAUCAUUAAGUUGGGCACUCUAAGUUGACUGCCGGUGACAAACCAGAGGAAGGUGGGGAUGACGUCAAAUCAUCAUGCCCCUUAUGAUUUGGGCUACACACGUGCUACAAUGGACAAUACAAAGGGCAGCGAAACCGCGAGGUCAAGCAAAUCCCAUAAAGUUGUUCUCAGUUCGGAUUGUAGUCUGCAACUCGACUACAUGAAGCUGGAAUCGCUAGUAAUCGUAGAUCAGCAUGCUACGGUGAAUACGUUCCCGGGUCUUGUACACACCGCCC